rnacentral:rRNA from 1 species
ACGCACGCUGGCGGCGUGCUUCACACAUGCAAGUCGCACGGAAAGGCCCUGCUUUUGUGGGGUGCUCGAGUGGCGAACGGGUGAGUAACACGUGAGUAACCUGCCCUUGACUUUGGGAUAACUUCAGGAAACUGGGGCUAAUACCGGAUAGGAGCUCCUGCUGCAUGGUGGGGGUUGGAAAGUUUCGGCGGUUGGGGAUGGACUCGCGGCUUAUCAGCUUGUUGGUGGGGUAGUGGCUUACCAAGGCUUUGACGGGUAGCCGGCCUGAGAGGGUGACCGGCCACAUUGGGACUGAGAUACGGCCCAGACUCCUACGGGAGGCAGCAGUGGGGAAUAUUGCACAAUGGGCGGAAGCCUGAUGCAGCAACGCCGCGUGCGGGAUGACGGCCUUCGGGUGGUAAACCGCUUUCGCCUGUGACGAAGCGUGAGUGACGGGAAUGGGUAAAGAAGCACCGGCUAACUACGU